rnacentral:rRNA from 1 species
UACGUAGGGGGCGAGCGUUGUCCGGAUUUAUUGGGCGUAAAGAGCUCGUAGGCGGUUUGGCAAGUCGGGUGUGAAAACUCCGGCUCAACUCGGAGACGCCACUCGAUACUGCUAUGACUCGAGUCCGGUAGGGGAGUGCGGAAUUCCUGGUGUAGCGGUGAAAUGCGUAGAGAUCGGGAGGAAGGCCGGUGGCGAAGGCGGCGCUCUGGAACAUUUCUGACGCUGAGGCUCGAAAGCGUGGGGAGCAAACAGG